UGAGCAAUCUGCCCUUCUCUUCGGAAUAAGCGUUGGAAACGACGUCUAAUGCCGAAUACGACCUCCUUUCGCAUGAUCGGAGGUGGAGAGCUCCGGCGGAGAAGGAUGAGCUCGCGGCCUGUCAGCUAGUUGGUGUGGGUAAUGGCCCACCAAGGCGACGACGGGUAGCCGGCCUGAGAGGGUGACCGGCCACACUGGGACUGAGACACGGCCCAGACUCCUACGGGAGCAG
rnacentral:rRNA from 1 species